rnacentral:rRNA from 1 species
UACAGAGGGUGCAAGCGUUGUUCGGAAUUAUUGGGCGUAAAGCGCGUGUAGGCGGCUUUGCAAGUCGGGUGUGAAAGCCCUCGGCUUAACCGAGGAAGUGCGCCCGAAACUGCAGAGCUUGAGUACCGGAGAGGAUGGCGGAAUUCCCCAAGUAGAGGUGAAAUUCGUAGAUAUGGGGAGGAACACCGGUGGCGAAGGCGGCCAUCUGGACGGAUACUGACGCUGAGACGCGAAAAGCGUGGGGAGCAAACAGGG